rnacentral:rRNA from 1 species
UACGGAGGAUGCAAGCGUUAUCCGGAAUGAUCGGGCGUAAAGCGUCCGCAGGUGGCUGUGUAAGUCUGCUGUUAAAGAGUGAGGCUCAACCUCAUAAAAGCAGUGGAAACUACACGGCUAGAGUGCGUUCGGGGCAGAGGGAAUUCCUGGUGUAGCGGUGAAAUGCGUAGAGAUCAGGAAGAACACCGGUGGCGAAGGCGCUCUGCUAGGCCGCAACUGACACUGAGGGACGAAAGCUAGGGGAGCGAAUGGG